UGCAAGUCGAGCGAACUGAUUAGAAGCUUGCUUCUAUGACGUUAGCGGCGGACGGGUGAGUAACACGUGGGCAACCUGCCUGUAAGACUGGGAUAACUUCGGGAAACCGAAGCUAAUACCGGAUAGGAUCUUCUCCUUCAUGGGAGAUGAUUGAAAGAUGGUUUCGGCUAUCACUUACAGAUGGGCCCGCGGUGCAUUAGCUAGUUGGUGAGGUAACGGCUCACCAAGGCAACGAUGCAUAGCCGACCUGAGAGGGUGAUCGGCCACACUGGGACUGAGACACGGCCCAGACUCCUACGGGAGGCAGCAGUAGGGAAUCUUCCGCAAUGGACGAAAGUCUGACGGAGCAACGCCGCGUGAGUGAUGAAGGCUUUCGGGUCGUAAAACUCUGUUGUUAGGGAAGAACAAGUACGAGAGUAACUGCUCGUACCUUGACGGUACCUAACCAGAAAGCCACGGCUAACUACGUGCCAGCAGCCGCGGUAAUACGUAGGUGGCAAGCGUUAUCCGGAAUUAUUGGGCGUAAAGCGCGCGCAGGCGGUUUCUUAAGUCUGAUGUGAAAGCCCACGGCUCAACCGUGGAGGGUCAUUGGAAACUGGGGAACUUGAGUGCAGAAGAGAAAAGCGGAAUUCCACGUGUAGCGGUGAAAUGCGUAGAGAUGUGGAGGAACACCAGUGGCGAAGGCGGCUUUUUGGUCUGUAACUGACGCUGA
rnacentral:rRNA from 2 species